rnacentral:rRNA from 1 species
GACGAACGCUGGCGGCGUGCCUAAUACAUGCAAGUCGAGCGCAGGAAACUGACGGAACUCUUCGGAGGGAAGGCAGUGGAAUGAGCGGCGGACGGGUGAGUAACACGUAAGGAACCUGCCUCAAGGAUUGGGAUAACUCCGAGAAAUCGGAGCUAAUACCGGAUAGUUCAACGGACCGCAUGGUCCGCUGAUGAAAGGCGCUUCGGCGUCACCUUGAGAUGGCCUUGCGGUGCAUUAGCUAGUUGGUGGGGUAACGGCCCACCAAGGCGACGAUGCAUAGCCGACCUGAGAGGGUGAUCGGCCACACUGGGACUGAGACACGGCCCAGACUCCUACGGGAGGCAGCAGUAGGGAAUCUUCCACAAUGGACGAAAGUCUGAUGGAGCAACGCCGCGUGAGUGAUGAAGGUUUUCGGAUCGUAAAACUCUGUUGAAGGGAAGAACACGUACGAGAGGGAAUGCUCGUACCUUGACGGUACCUUACGAGAAAGCCACGGCUAACUACGUGCCAGCCGCCGCCGUAAUAC